GACGAACGCUGGCGGCGUGCCUAACACAUGCAAGUCGAGCGGGGUUGAAGCGAGGGGUAACUCGAACUUCUACCUAGCGGCGGACGGGUGAGUAACGCGUGGGCAACCUGCCUCAAGGUCUGGGAUAACAGCUCGAAAGGGCUGCUAAUACCGGAUAUGCCUAUAGCCUCGGCAUGGGGCUAUGAGCAAAGGGGAAACCCGCCUUGAGAUGGGCCCGCGUCCCAUCAGCUAGUUGGUGAGGUGAAGGCUCACCAAGGCGACGACGGGUAGCCGGCCUGAGAGGGUGACCGGCCACACUGGGACUGAGACCACGGCCCAGACUCCUACGGGGGGCAGCAGUGGGGAAUCUUGCACAAUGGGCGAAAGCCUGAUGCAGCGACGCCGCGUGAGCGAAGAAGGCCUUCGGGUUGUAAAGCUCUGUCUGGAGGGACGAAGAAAGUGACGGUACCUCCGGAGGAAGCCACGGCUAACUACGUG
rnacentral:rRNA from 1 species